GGCGUAUUAGUUCAGAAGAGUAGAACACCGGCCUGUCACGCCGGAGGUCACGGGUUCAAGUCCCGUAUACGUCGCCA
rnacentral:tRNA from 1 species